rnacentral:rRNA from 1 species
UACAUGGGGUGCAAACGUUGCUCGGAAUUAUUGGGCGUAAAGCGCACGUAGGUGGUCUGUUAUGUCAGAUGUGAAAGCCCCUCGGCUUAACUGAGGAAGUGCACCUGAAACUGGCAGGCUUGAGUACGAAAGAGGGUCGCGGAAUUCCCGGUGUAGAGGUGAAAUUCGUAGAUAUCGGGAGGAACACCGGUGGCGAAGGCGGCGACCUGGUUCGAUACUGACACUGAGGUGCGAAAGCG